rnacentral:tmRNA from 1 species
GGGGGCGAUCUGGCUUCGACGUGGAUUACAAAGCUCCAGGUGCAUGUCGUGUUGGUAGCGAAACACGUAAAACCAAAGCUGCAAACUUAUAGUUGCAAACGAUGACAACUACGAAGGUUACGCACUAGCUGCAUAAUCCUUCAUAACUGGGUCAAUAGCACCCGGCGGUCACUGAGCUGAGCCUGAUCGGCUCUACUGACUGUCAAAUAAUUCAGGAUACGCAUGAAGGUCGUCAGGGCCGGAUUGCCGACAAUUUGAAUCCCUGACUCCCCGAGUCGCACCUGUCCUUCGGUAACGGCAAGGGUAAAUCAAAGAAGUGACUAAACAUGUAGGACCGCGAGUGGCGGAUUUGCGGACGCGGGUUCGAUUCCCGCCGCCUCCACCA